rnacentral:rRNA from 1 species
CCUACGGGUGGCAGCAGUGGGGAAUAUUGGACAAUGGGGGCAACCCUGAUCCAGCCAUGCCGCGUGUGUGAAGAAGGCCCUCGGGUUGUAAAGCACUUUCAGUGAGGAAGAACGCCUGGUGGUUAAUACCCAUCAGGAAAGACAUCACUCACAGAAGAAGCACCGGCUAACUCCGUGCCAGCAGCCGCGGUAAUACGGAGGGUGCGAGCGUUAAUCGGAAUUACUGGGCGUAAAGCGCGCGUAGGUGGCUUGAUAAGCCGGUUGUGAAAGCCCCGGGCUCAACCUGGGAACGGCAUCCGGAACUGGCAAGCUAGAGUGCAGGAGAGGAAGGUAGAAUUCCCGGUGGAGCGGUGAAAUGCGUAGAGGUCGGGAGGAAUACCAGUGGCGAAGGCGGCCUUCUGGACUGACACUGACACUGAGGUGCGAAAGCGUGGGUAGCAAACAGGAUUAGAUACCCCGGUAGUC